rnacentral:rRNA from 1 species
UACGUAGGGUCCGAGCGUUGUCCGGAAUUAUUGGGCGUAAAGGGCUCGUAGGCGGUUCGUCACGUCGGGAGUGAAAACUCGGGGCUUAACCCCGAGCCUGCUUCCGAUACGGGCAGACUAGAGGUAGGCAGGGGGAGAGCGGAACUCCUGGUGUAGCGGUGGAAAUGCGCAGAUAUCAGGAAGAACACCCGGUGGCGAAGGCGGCUCUCUGGGC